rnacentral:rRNA from 1 species
GACCUACGGGACGCAGCAGUGGGGAAUAUUGCACAAUGGGGGAAACCCUGAUGCAGCGACGCCGCGUGAGUGAAGAAGUAUUUCGGUAUGUAAAGCUCUAUCAGCAGGGAAGAUAAUGGCGGUACCUGACUAAGAAGCCCCGGCUAACUACGUGCCCGCAGCCGCGGGAAUACGUAGGGGGCAAGCGUUAUCCGGAUUUACUGGGUGUAAAGGGAGCGUAGGUGGCAGGGCAAGUCAGAUGUGAAAACCCGGGGCUCAACCCCGGGAGGGCAUUUGAAACUGUCCCGCUGGGGUGC